rnacentral:rRNA from 1 species
CGGGUGGUAAUGCCGGAUGCUCCGGUUGGAUGCAUGUCCUUCCGGGAAAGGUUCCAUCGGUAUGGGAUGGGGUCGCGUCCUAUCAGCUUGAUGGCGGGGUAACGGCCCACCAUGGCUUCGACGGGUAGCCGGCCUGAGAGGGCGACCGGCCACAUUGGGACUGAGAUACGGCCCAGACUCCUACGGGAGGCAGCAGUGGGGAAUAUUGCACAAUGGGCGCAAGCCUGAUGCAGCGACGCCGCGUGCGGGAUGGAGGCCUUCGGGUUGUAAACCGCUUUUGAUCGGGAGCAAGCCCUUCGGGGUGAGUGUACCUUUCGAAUAAGCACCGGCUAACUACGUGCCAGCAGCCGCGGUAAUACGUAGGGUGCAAGCGUUAUCCGGAAUUAUUGGGCGUAAAGGGCUCGUAGGCGGUUCGUCGCGUCCGGUGUGAAAGCCCAUCGCUUAACGGUGGGUCUGCGCCGGGUACGGGCGGGCUGGAGUGCGGUAGGGGAGACUGGAAUUCCCGGUGUAACGGUGGAAUGUGUAGAUAUCGGAAAAAAACACCA